UCCCUGCUUCCCCAAUUUGCACGGAGAGAGAGAGAUAGAGAGAGAGAUCGGAGGCAAAUUCUCACGUCAUCAUCUGAGAUCGGAGUGAGUGAGAGAGAAAGAUCAAUCUCUUUCGAAUCAGAUCAGAUUGGGCUUUGUGGAAAACAGAAGAAGGCUUGCUGUUGUUUAGUUUAUUCUUCUGAGGUUUAAAACAGAACACCAGCUAAAGUGUUGAAGCUCCAGAGUUUAAACUCAAGGGUGAGGCAUAACUAAAGGUCGCCACAUGAAUCCAAUUGAAUCCGGUAUUUUGAUCCAUUUCAAUUCUAUCACUUAUCAAGAACAAUCCACAGAGGGAUAGACUGUCUGCUUUCCUUCGCACAAAGACAUCAAACUGUAUUUCUGCACUCUUCGAUCUUCAGCCAAACUGUUGGCUUCAAAGUUGGCUAAGAAGGGAAAUCCAAGCUCUUAGCAGCAAAGGCGGAAAACUUAUUCAGCUGAUUUCACUCUGAAACUCAAUUCUAAGUCACCUAUGAUGACCUGGAAAUCGAAGUAAGAGCCUGGCACAAGCAGAAAUUCCGGAAGAAAUUCAAAAAGUUUGCAAGGAAGUUCAAGCAAAGUUCAAUUGCCAGUCCUGUUUACCUGCUCUGAAAAUUGUAUUCUGUAUACGGGCAUCUGCUCUUUCAAUUUCAGUUUCAUAUCAACUAUAUUCACUUUCAAUUUCAAUUAGCACUCCUAUUCAUUACACAUAACAACUUCUCAUGUAUACAAUUACU
rnacentral:lncRNA from 1 species